rnacentral:rRNA from 2 species
CCCUACUACUUGGAUAACCCGUGUAAUUCUAGAGCUAAUACAUGCUUAAAAUCCCGACUCGGAAGGGAUGUAUUUAUUAGAUAAAAAACAAUGCCCUCGGGGCUCUCUGGUGAUUCAUAAUAACUUCUCGAUCGCAUGGCCCUGCGCCGGCGACGGUUCAUUCAAAUAUCUGCCCUAUCAACUUUCGACGGUAAGGUAUUGGCCAUCAUGGUUUCAACGGGUAACGGGGAAUUAGGGUUUGAUUCCGGAGAGGGAGCCUGAGAAACGGCUACCACAUCCAAGGAAGGCAGCAGGCGCGCAAAUUACCCAAUCCCGACACGGGGGGGGUAGUGACAAUAAAUACUGAUACAGGGCUCUUUUGGGUCUUGUAAUUGGAAUGAGUACAAUUUAAAUCCCUAACGAGGAACAAUUGGAGGGCAAGUCUGGUGCCAGCAGCCGCGGUAAAUUCCAGCUCCAAUAGCGUAUAUUAAAGUUGUUGCAGUUAAAAAGCUCGUAGUUG